rnacentral:lncRNA from 1 species
AGAAAAUAGUAAAAAUAAAGAAAAACUCUUGAAUGAGUAGGUGUGUCCAAACCUUUGACGGGUACUGUACAUGAAUUUGUACAAUACAAACUCUUGUUUUCAUUUGGAGUAAAGGGUUUUUGUUGCAAAACGUUUUGCAACAGACGAAACGUUUUGCAAUGGAAUCUGACUAAUGAAUACACCCCAGAUCAGUCCUCCCCAUUGAUGUGAAUGCAUUGUAGACACAGAAAUCGCAAUGGGUUACCUUCAGUAUAGUAUCACCACACAGGACAACAUGACUGACGAUGCAAAGAUGGCAGCACACAGACCUAUAAGGCAUACUGUAGAGUCUCUAGUCCGUGAAGGAUGAGAAGGAUACAGCAACUAAGAAGAUUAGAAGUGUUUUUACAAAUUAAAGGGACUACGGAGGGUUCACCCAGUUGAAAUAAUGCCAUAGGAGCCCUUAGGGUUCACUAGGCUGUAUAGUACAGUAGGGUCUAGGUGUAGACAGGACAGUCUGUGAUGUCAGAGGGCUGAGCAGGGCCAGAAGGGGCAGUAGGCUGUCUGCUAAACAAGGAUUACAGAGCAAGGGAUCUCUCCCUCUCUCUGAUUCUCUCCCUCGAUGGUGGUGAAAUGACAGUCAUGUUGAUUGAAGAUAUCUCAUUUCUGGACAGAGAGAGGAGAUUCAGCUGAGAUUCAGUCAAGUCUCCGACUCUGGUCGCGUCUAGACCCCUGGGGAGGGUCCAUGGAGGAGAACCUGAUGGAGAGGGUGCAUACUCUAGCAGUGGUUCUGCCUGGAGAAAACGGCCACGGUAAAUGGGAGUAAACCUGUGAUGGACAUACUGGUCACACUCUGUGCCCAGUACCACCUGAAUCCAUCUGACUUCACCAUAGAACUCCAGUCAGCCAAUAGAAACAAAAUCUCCUUCAAAACCAGCUCUCUGAUUGGAGCCAUGGAGGCUCAGAGGAUCCUACUGAAACCUAAAGGGGGAGAGGAGAAGAUAAGGAGGCUGUACGUGCCAGAGGUCACUGUACGUCUGCUAAUCACCUACAAGAAGAACCAUAAGGCCGUUGUGAGGGUCAACCCUAGAGUCCCUCUGGAGCAGCUCCUGCCUGCGGUGUGUGUGAGUUUGACCUGGAGUCCACCAUUUUACUGAGAGCCAACGGCUCUGAAGAACCUUUAAACCUGAGCAGGUCCCUCGAUGACUAUGGACUAAGGGAACUGUACGCCAAGGAAACAGCAGGGUCUCUCAGUGAGUGCCCCGGCCUCACGUGGUCUGAAAAACCAGCGGGUGGCCAGCAUCAGCAUGAACUCCCUGGGUGUCCACUCCUCCAACACCCUGCCCAUGGACGACACCAUGGCCAAGAAGAAAACGGGCACCCACGCUCCACAUGGCAGGCUCCCAAAGCGUCCCUGCCAACCUCAACGUCCAGCCGGGUCUCCAGAAGGUUCCACUGACUGGGUCUUCAGUGCUCCAACCGUGUCUAGUCCUAGUGAGCUUUACCAGACCGCACCAAAAUCACCAGUGGUAGUCAAGCAGGAGAGUUCAGAGAUGGAGGCCCAGGAGGAGUCCGAAUCACCCACAGACAGUCUAGAUUCAGAACUACAGAAAAGUCUAGAGGUACAAGUCCCGGAGGAGUCGGAUACACUCUCAGAGAUUCCCAACCCAUACACGGCUGACCUGGAGAUGAAAUGGAAUACCUGGAGAUGGAAUACGUGGAGAUGAGGUGACCUCAACUCCUGAACUACUAGAGAGCAGGGGAUUGUUCCGGAAGCCCAGUCUGGUGAUAGAGGAGUCAGCAGAGGACCGUUUCUUUUCCCCUCCUCCCCCUUCCCCUCCCCGUGUGUGCUAUGGUAAGGAGGAGACGGAGCCGACCCAGUUACGAGUGAGGCCUCCUGGGGGAAGAAAUCACCGCCCUCCCUCUUAUCCUCCCCCUUCUCUUCCUACGCUGAGUCGUACCUUCUGUGAACCAGCUGCGGGAGACAAUCAGACUAAUGCCCCUUCAUCACCCAAACCGAACAUGAUUAAUUUGACUUCACCCAAACCAUACGUGCCUGCAGCCCUGGCCAGGAGAACUGCCAUCCCCUCCUGCUUUGCCCAGGCUGUGGCUCUAGCCGUCCGUAAGUCCCAGUCCUCCUGUCCCCGAAGGCCAGCACCAGACUUGUUUUCCUCCCUCUCAGGCUCCUCACCCUCCACUGCCUUACCGCUAACCAAUGUGGUGAGUGGUGAUUUUUGACCUGCACUAACACGGUGAUGACAUGCAAAUUUUGCCAUUGUAGCAACUGGAUUGGACCCAAAAUUGAACCAUUGGUUACCCCUAUCAUACUACGAUGUGCUUGCUUCCAUACAUAAAGUUGCCAUUCUUAACUUUCAUGAUCUCUCUGUGAACCUCACAUGUUCCACAGGUGAACUCUUUACACCAGCGGAGGCUGGUGGGAGGAGCCAUAGGAGGACGGGCUCAUUGGAAUGGCUGGAUUGGAAUAAAUGGAACGGAGUCAAACAGGGUUUCCAUGUGUUGGAUACCAUUCCAUUGCAGACAUUCAGCCUGUCCUCAUACAGCUCAUCCCACCAGCCUCCACUGCUUUACACAGGAAAGAAGGGAAGGGCAUAUCUUGAUGUAAGUGUGUAUAUUCUACAGUGGGAUUUUUUUCUAUCUGGAAAGAUGUUGUUUGUUACAUUAAAUGGCGACAAAUGCCUUUCUAAACAAUCCUGGCAGACUGGUAUUCUUCUGAGACACCUUGGUGUUUGUCUGUUAUCUUCAUGUGUAUGUGCAAAAUGUGGUAUAUGGCCCUGUAGAAUACCUCUAUUGACAUGCUCACACUCUGUGUGACCUGGUGGAGGAAGGACCUAAUCUAAACUGGUGAUAUUUGUGUCUCUUGUCCUACAGGGGCCAUAAUGGCUUCAUAGUAAAUCUGUGAAAUGGAAGUUCCUGUUUAGGGUGAGGCAACUGCAGUGAGGUAGAGCCGGCAACCACAUAGUCACAUGACCUCCAAAUGGACCCCACUUAUGGACCGACAAAUUCCAAAGAAGCCCAGGCCCCUGUUUUUCACUGGGAGUCAGCACAUUAUAAAAACAACAUUUAUCCAAGACUUCAUCCAAGAGUUUGAUUAGUGUACAGGUCAUUUUAUUUUCACUGAAUGUUUGUUUUUGUAUCUGUUAUUAAGAUAUUUGACUUGUAUGCGAAGAUGUAUUUAUUUGACCUUGGUAGUACAGUAUUUAUGGGAUCUACAUGUUUGUACUUGGAGUUUCCUGUUGACUCAUUAGUGUUGAAAUGUGCCAAAACCGAGAUUAAAUAAUACGUAAUCUCUCCUCAGUAUCUCUUUUUGUUUGUCAAGGACAGAGAACUCUGAAAUAAGAUGACUUAAAAUGUUACGUUUCAUUCUGUACAAAUCAAGAAUUAUUCUAUAUAUUUUCUUCCAGACAUGUAUCAUUUCUAUAAGUAAAUGAUACGCCAUUAUCAACAAGUGUGUUGCUUUCUUUUGCCACCGGAGGGCAGGAGCACACUUCACAAAUUUCUCAUGUACAGAACCACUGUGUGAGCUGUUUUGUGAUCCACACUUGAUCAAUUAUUAGCAUUGACAUAUCCAGAUAUUAAAGAAGAGCAUCAAUUAUCAUUCAUCUUCUUUGUCUUUACUGGUUAUACUAUAUAUUUUUAAUGGAUUAGUGUGUUUUAUUUCAAGCCUUGUUAUCUUGUCCGUUAUCGCGUUAUGGUUGCUAUUUCACAAUGAUAUUCUACAGGAUAUUCUACACGGUGCCAUGGUUAGAGCAUUGCAGGAAGAUAUGUAAUAUUAAAUCUACAUGAUGUGAAAUAAAUAACGUUCUUGCUAUGCAUUGUUGUUCAGAGUGCAACACAUUACUGAAUAAACUGAGAUGAUGUACAG